UGGAGAUCAGGGACUUGAAGGAGAGCGCCGGGAGACCGCAGGGCGGAGGUGAAGAACGGAGUCCAGAGCCCUCCAGAGAUGGCAGCGAAUCCCGGCCCUGCCUCUUGCCAGCUGUGUGGCCUAGAGUGAGUCCGACCUCUCUGGGCCUCAGCUUCCUCCGGGAUGAAUGCAGUCACGGAACGCGCCAAUGCAGGAGGCCCCCAGGACAUCCUGAGCGCUCGGGAGACGCCAGGCGCGGCAGCGGGCACGGAUAGCGGAAAGGGGCGCGACCCCGCGGAAUCCUCCGGCAGGGCAGGGCCUUUGGGUGGCUCCGGGUGUCCAGAGGAAGGGGUGGGCUCGGGGACGCGGAGGGAAACUGGGGACGCGGAGGGAAACUGAGGUCGCGGAGGACGCGGCCGUUGGCAGCUCGCUGCGCCUGCCGGCCCCGCGUGGGCCGCCCCACUCGGGAGGACGCGGGCUCCUUUUGUCUGCAGCGUCCCC
rnacentral:lncRNA from 10 species